AAGCGAAACCCGCCCCAUUCAUGGGGCGCGGUCUGUCUAAUGUAGUGAUUAGGCACUGAUGAGCAGCUAACC
rfam:Shewanella oneidensis MR-1, complete genome.